AGAGUUUGAUCCUGGCUCAGAACGAACGCUGGCGGCAGGCUUAACACAUGCAAGUUGAACGGGAUUUGUGUGGUGCUUGCACCAUAUAAUGAGAGUAGCGCACUGGUGAGUAACACGUGGGAACGUACCUUUUGGUGGGGGACAACAUCUGGAAACGGAUGCUAAUACCGCAUAAGACCUGAGGGUGAAAGAUUUAUCGCCGAAAGAACGGCCCGCGGAAGAUUAGGCAGUUGGUGGGGUAAAGGCCUACCAAACCUACGAUCUAUAGCUGGUCUGAGAGGACGAUCAGCCACACUGGAACUGAGACACGGUCCAGACUCCUACGGGAGGCAGCAGUGAGGAAUAUUGGGCAAUGGAGGCAACUCUGACCCAGCCAUGCCGCGUGAGUGAAGAAGGUUUUCGGAUUGUAAAGCUCUUUCGGAUGUGACGAUGAUGACGGUAGCAUCUAAAGAAGCCCCGGCUAACUUCGUGCCAGCAGCCGCGGUAAUACGAAGGGGGCGAGCGUUGUUCGGAAUUACUGGGCGUAAAGGGUGUGUAGGCGGUUAUGUAAGAUAGCGGUGAAAUCCCGGGGCUUAACCUCGGAAUAGCCGUUAUAACUAUGUAGCUAGAGUUAUGGAGAGGAUAGCGGAAUACCCAGUGUAGAGGUGAAAUUCGUAGAUAUUGGGUAGAACACCGGUGGCGAAGGCGGCUAUCUGGCCAUAUACUGACGCUGAGGCACGAAAGCAUGGGGAUCAAACAGGAUUAGAUACCCUGGUAGUCCAUGCUGUAAACGAUGAAUGCUGGUUGUCGGCUUUAGGGUCGGUGACGAAGUUAACGCGAUAAGCAUUCCGCCUGGGGAGUACGGUCGCAAGAUUAAAACUCAAAGGAAUUGACGGGGACCCGCACAAGCGGUGGAGCAUGUGGUUUAAUUCGAUGCAACGCGAAGAACCUUACCAACUCUUGACAUCCUUAUCGGGGGGCGCAGAGAUGAGCCCUUUCAGUUAGGCUGGAUAAGUGACAGAUGCUGCAUGGCUGUCGUCAGCUCGUGUCGUGAGAUGUUGGGUUAAGUCCC
rnacentral:rRNA from 1 species